rnacentral:lncRNA from 1 species
UUCCUCAUUCACAGCACUAAUUCUGCUGGAUGUGACCACACUGUCAUCUGGUGUGGCCAGAAGUUUUGAGGAGCUGUAGCAAAGUUAUUUCUGUGACCUGGUAUUAGAUCUCCUGACACGUAGCAGUUACAAGUUCUUUUAUUCUCUGUUUGAACCUUUAGGUUUAUGCAGUCUUCUUACCAAAGAAGCAGGAAGCUUUGCGUUGGCCCCAGAGAUUGUUUUCUGGUGUCCUCAAUAGAAAGGGACUGGCAAGUAGAGGUGUAUGCAUUUGGAAACAGCAAGCUCUUCCUGGGUUCUGGCUGAGAAUUAACUCCAUCGAUGGACUCCAUCUAUGCAUCUAGAAUGAUGCCAGUGCUGUCUUCAGGAGAACUGAGGAAAUCGUCCUUCAGAUCUGUUUCUGUAGUAUUUAAUUCUUUCAUAGAAGCCUGGCUAAAGAGGUUGGCUCAGACGAAGGAGGAGAAGCUGGAGAAGUUAAGUGACCCUUGCUGGAUGGGAAGAGGAAGAGAAGUGAGCUACUCCACCUUUGGUGCUCAGUGUAAGACUGACACUUCAGAGGCCCAUAAUCACUGACUGAUGGAACAAACGAAUGAAUGAACGAACAAUGCAAAGUAAGCACACCCAGUGAACGUGACCUAGACUGCAUGUUUCCUGAUUCCCAGAGCAGUGGUGUUUUCACUCUAGCACAUGGAGAGGAGAAGGAAAGUUGGGAAAACAAGUAGAAACUGGAUUUAAAACAGCAUUUUAAUCAGUCAUUGAAUUAGCUAUGUAGCAAUUUUUCUAGCAAUGGCACUUGGGCAUAUGUGGACUUAUACAUGAAUUACACCCUUCUUUCCCGGUCUGAUGACCCUCUCCAAGUUGCAUAGUGCUUUUCUUGUGGUCCUUUAUCUUGUAGAACAAAGCACAUAUGUGCUUUCUGCAAUAUUCCUCACAGCAAUGAUGGAUAUUCAUUGAUUUCCCUGUUCUUUCAUGUCUUGGUCUCUUCCAUACAUGCAUGUGUUGCUUGAUAUUUUAAAGAGCACUUUUCAAAACAAACUUAUGUGGUUUUUAUUAGCAUCCCCGCUUUGAAUUAUAGAAGCAAAAAUUCAAAGAAGUUAACUAGUUUUUGUUUGCUUUUGCAAUAAUGAGGAUUGAACCCAGGACCUUUUCACUAAGCUUCACCUUCAGCCCUUUUUUAUUUCAUUUGAGACAGAGUCCUGCUAAAUUGCUUAAGCUGGGUUUGAAUUUUCAGUCCUCCCACUUCAGCCUCCCAGAGUGCUGAGAUUACAGAUAUGCACCACCAUGCCUGACUUCAAAGAAGUUAUCUUAAAUUGAUCUAACACCACAUAGCUAAAAACAUUGUUGUUUUUGGUGUCUUCAUAUUAUUUCAAACAUUAUGAUUGCUUCCCCUAAUAUUUCCCAGCAUCACUUGUGAGUAAGAACACAUACUUAUUACCACUGAGGCAGUGGAUGCAAUAUUUGGCCCGAGCAGAGAAGAGCCACUGGUCAACGGGAUGUGUUAAUCUCACAUGCUGAUUAAUUUUGAGGAUUCUCUUUGAAAACAAUGUUUGUUGUUUAAUAUGUAUAGAAAGAAAAUAACUUUU